rnacentral:lncRNA from 1 species
GCUUUGGUUGCUCACAGAAUUUUUCAUCAUACCGUUGACAAAGUUUGCUGACUCUGCAUUUACAAUCUCUUUCCAGUAAUGGAUUCUUUCCAUUCUAGAUUUGGGCAUUUAAUUUUCAUCACAUUCCAACACAAACCAGCGUAAUUUAUCAUUGUAUAUAAUCUAGAGUGCAACUUUUAGAUCUAGCACACUGUUGGAGUUAUAGGGGAUGCUAUUUUGAAGGAAGUGUCCUUAUACCAGUUUGUUAAGUGGUCCUCAGUAGCAAGUUGUAAGAAAUUGUAUUCUUAAGUGAUGAUCAGAAACAGCUUGUUGAACAUAGUCUCAAUCAUCUCAGAAGAUGUUUGUAGUAGACAACCCAGAAUAUCUGAUAGUUGGAUAAUAAGGAGAUUAACAUGUGCAUUGUGCAUCAAGAUGCUUCAUUUUGUAGUGUUGUCUUAGAAAAAAAUUAUGGUUCAAUAUCUUUGGUGUUAUAUUCAUCUAAAAAGUAAAAUGGCAUUGAUAGAUUAAUGAUAGUCCAAUUUUGUGUAGUUUUCUGACUUAGGCCCA